UGCAGCUUUGACGCCCGCUCCCGCUCCCACUUGGAGUGCAGUCGGUUGGCCAGGAGCUGCCGCUCCCGAUCUGCUGCCUCCUGCAGCUCACAUCUCUCGGCGGCCCAGCGGCGCUGCAGCUCCUGGGAGCGGAGCCGCUCGCCCUGCAGCUGGGCCUGCAGUGCCUUCAGCACCUGGCUCUUCUCCUCCCGCUGCACAGGGCAGAUGGGGGGCUGUGCCAGGCCCCGGUGGGGAGAAGGCCGGCUGCCUGGGAGCCCCAGAUCUUCCUUGGCUGUCUCUGGCACCUAGAACCAGAACAUCACAGAAUAACAGAAUGGUUCGGGUGGGAAAGGGCCAUCAAGACUCCUGUUCCAAGCUCAUGCCAUGGGCAGGGACAGCUUCCACUAGGUCAGGUUGCGCAAAGGUGCCUCCAGCCUGGCCUGGAGCACUGCCAGGGAUGGGGCACCCACAGGCUCUGGGGGCAGCCUGUGCCAGUGCCUCAGCAGUGCCGAGUCUUUCUUCCUCAUAUCUCAUCCAAAUCUCCCCUCUUCUACUUUUCAGGCACUGUCCUUUGUUGUAUCACUACCCUCCC
ensembl:lncRNA